rnacentral:rRNA from 1 species
CCAGCUCCCGCGGUAAUUCCAGCUCCAAUAGCGUAUAUUAAAGUUGUUGCAGUUAAAAAGCUCGUAGUUGGACCUUAGGCAAGGCCGGCUGGUCAGUCGCAAGACUGCACUGGACGUGCUGCGCAUCACCUUCGGGGAGCCACGUCGCAAGGCGUGGGGAUCCGAGCUUUACUUUGAAGAAAUUAGAGUGUUCAAAGCAGGCUUACGCUUGAAUACAUUAGCAUGGAAUAAUAGAAUAGGACUCGGGUUCUAUUUUGUUGGUUUGAGGACCAGAGUAAUGAUUAAUAGGGAUAGUUGGGGGCAUUAGUAUUCAGUAGUCAGAGGUGAAAUUCUUGGAUUUACUGAAGACUAACUAGUGCGAAAGCAUUUGCCAAGGAUGUUUUCAUUAAUCAAGAACGAAAGU